UGGGGAAUUUUGGACAAUGGGCGAAAGCCUGAUCCAGCCAUACCGCGUGAGUGAAGAAGGCCUUCGGGUUGUAAAGCUCUUUCAGCCGGAAAGAAAAGGUUCCAGAUAAUACCUGGAGCUGAUGACGGUACCGGAAGAAGAAGCACCGGCUAACUACGUGCCAGCAGCCGCGGUAAUACGUAGGGUGCGAGCGUUAAUCGGAAUUACUGGGCGUAAAGCGUGCGCAGGCGGUUUUUUAAGCCAGAUGUGAAAUCCCCGGGCUUAACCUGGGAACUGCAUUUGGAACUGGAAGACUAGAGUGUAGCAGAGGGGGGUAGAAUUCCACGUGUAGCAGUGAAAUGCGUAGAUAUGUGGAGGAAUACCAAUGGCGAAGGCAGCCCCCUGGGUUAACACUGACGCUCAUGCACGAAAGCGUGGGGAGCAAACAGGAUUAGAUACCCUGGUAGUCCACGCCCUAAACGAUGUCAACUAGUUGUUGGGGGAGGAGACUUCCUUAGUAACGCAGCUAACGC
rnacentral:rRNA from 1 species